UACGUAGGUGGCAAGCGUUGUCCGGAAUUAUUGGGCGUAAAGCGCGCGCAGGCGGUCCUUUAAGUCUGAUGUGAAAGCCCACGGCUCAACCGUGGAGGGUCAUUGGAAACUGGGGGACUUGAGUACAGAAGAGGAAAGCGGAAUUCCACGUGUAGCGGUGAAAUGCGCAGAUAUCAGGAGGAACACCAGUGGCGAAGGCGCCGCUCUGGGCCGUGACUGACGCUGAGACGCGAAAGCGUGGGAAGCAAACAGG
rnacentral:rRNA from 1 species